rnacentral:rRNA from 1 species
UACAGAGGUCUCAAGCGUUGUUCGGAUUCAUUGGGCGUAAAGGGUGCGUAGGCGGCGCGGUAAGUCGGGUGUGAAAUCUCGGAGCUUAACUCCGAAACUGCAUUCGAUACUGCCGUGCUUGAGGACUGGAGAGGAGACUGGAAUUUACGGUGUAGCAGUGAAAUGCGUAGAGAUCGUAAGGAAGACCAGUGGCGAAGGCGGGUCUCUGGGCCGAUAUUGACGCUGAGGAGCGAAAGCGUGGGGAGCGAACAGG